UGUAGAAUUCGAUUUUCAAACUUGUAUUCAUCGUGAUGAUAAAAAGUCUGAAUAUUUUAUUUAAAUGUUUGUUUUAAUAUAGUUUAGGCGAUUUAGAUUUAGUGAAUGUAGUGGAUUUCAAAACAUGUUUAUUUUUUAAAUAUUGAAAAUGUUUGGCGUGACAGCUCUUGGUCCAGUUGAAGUUAGCUUGGCUAACACUAGACUUGCUAGAAAGGGAAGUGUUUCGGUGAAUCUACCACCGAAUCGGAAUCACCACUCACAGAAAAGAUCCGACGAGAAAAUCAGUGGGCUGUGUUUUAGCUGGUAGCCUGCAGGAGUUCUAACCAGGCUCACUGAGCUCACAAGGCUCAGCUUGAGGGAGAUUGCUGCGUCUUGCAAGAGUAGUGCUUCGCUAAAUCUACCACGGGAUCGGAAUCGCGACUCAUUGAGAAGAUCCGGCAAGAAACGCAAUGGGCAAGGUUUUUAUAGUAAAUUUACCAAAGUUUUAUAUUUCAAAUUUUAUUGAUGACUGGUAUACGUGGAGAUUCCUUGAGCCUGCAGAAAAACUGUGCUUUGGUCAUUGGAAAAGCGACUAUACAAAACGCAGAGGCCUAAGAGCAGAUACCGGUAAAAUGGGGCGAUUAGGGAUUGAGAGGCGAAUCGGGAAAAAACCGGGAAAAUCUUUCGACGCUCAAUAUAAGUUUUAUAUUCGUUGCAAAAUCUUCCAUUUUUUGUAGUUUAAUAGUAGAAUGUUGAAAGUUCACAAAACAACU